rnacentral:rRNA from 1 species
CCUACGGGUGGCAGCAGUGGGGGAUAUUGCACAAUGGGGGAAACCCUGAUGCAGCGACGCCGCGUGUGGGAAGACGGUCCUCUGGAUUGUAAACCACUGUCCCCAGGGACGAAGAUGCCGGUACCUGGGGAGGAAGCUCCGGCUAACUACGUCCCAGCAGCCGCGGUAAUACGUAGGGAGCAAGCGUUGUCCGGAAUUACUGGGGGUAAAGGGAGCGUAGGGGGGAUGGCAAGUUGGGUUUUAAACCUACCGGCUCAACUGGUAGUCGCACUCAAAACUGCUAUUCUUGAGUGAAGUAGAGGCAGGUGGAAUUCCUAGUGUAGCGGUGAAAUGCGUAGAUAUUAGGAGGAACACCAGUGGCGAAGGCGGCCUGCUGGGCUUUUACUGACGCUGAGGCUCGAAAGUGUGGGGAGCAAACAGGAUUAGAUACCCGUGUAGUC